rnacentral:rRNA from 1 species
AUACGGAGGGUGCAAGCGUUAAUCGGAAUUACUGGGCGUAAAGCGCGCGUAGGCGGCUGAUUAAGUCGGAUGUGAAAUCCCUGGGCUCAACCUAGGAACUGCAUCCGAUACUGGUCAGCUAGAGUUUUGGAGAGGUAAGUGGAAUUUCCGGUGUAGCGGUGAAAUGCAUAGAGAUCGGAAGGAACACCAGUGGCGAAGGCGACUUACUGGCCAAAAACUGACGCUGAGGUGCGAAAGCGUGGGUAGCGAACAGAAUUAGAAACCCCAGUAGUCC